UACGGAGGGAGCUAGCGUUGUUCGGAAUUACUGGGCGUAAAGGGCGCGUAGGCGGCGCGGUAAGUCACUUGUGAAAUCUCUGAGCUUAACUCAGAACGGCCAAGUGAAACUGUCAAGCUAGAGUGCAGAAGGGGCAAUCGGAAUUCUUGGUGUAGCGGUGAAAUGCGUAGAUAUCAAGAGGAACACCUGAGGUGAAGACGGGUUGCUGGGCUGACACUGACGCUGAGGCGCGAAAGCCAGGGGAGCAAACAGG
rnacentral:rRNA from 1 species